CUCCCCGCGCGCAAGGCCGCGUAGUCAACCUAAGCACGCGCGCCGCCUGACGGGACCAAGCGGGAGCCUCGCGCAGCCAUUUUGAGUGAGGGCAUCGCUGGAUCCUCGAGUUCCUGCUGCCUGGGCUUGCCGUCCUUGCUCCUCUCCACCCGGCCCCGCUGCCGUUCACUCGGAGGUGAAGAAAACCGGCACCUAGCCUGACGCACGGGAAGCCUAUGGGGGCGAGGAAUAGACGCCUCUUGCCUGGUGCCAGGAAGCAACAUGGAGGUUGCAGCGGCAGGGACUGGUUCCCAGUGAUCUUCUUCGGCGUCGCUUAUAGGCCUCGGGAAUACGUAACCCAGAGAGCGACGCUUUAGGGAGCGUUGUGGUUGGGAUUUGUUCUUGGUGCUGAUUCCUUAUUUUCAGCUGUGCUUCUACCGAAUACACACCUGGUUCGUUAGAGGCUUUCCUCAUGUCUUUGUUCAAGACUUUCCCAGUGAAGCUUUCCACCCCCUCUCAACUCUCCCUAUUCUCCUUAUCUGCCUUUUCUCCUCAACACCGCCGCCUCCCAAGCUGAAUGUACCCCUUUUGUUUAUUAUCUGCUUCUCACUAAGUAAAAUGUAAGCUCCGUGAAGACAAGGACUGUGUUUUCUUCACGACUGCAACUCCUAGAACAGUAAGAAGGAGCCCACGAAAGCCAAGUACUUACAGCCCACAAAAGUGCUAAUGCAGCCCUGGUGCACAGUAAUGACUAAGUGAAUGAGUAAAUGAAUGAAGGGAUUGAAUCCCUUGUCAACCCUUGCUGAAAGGACGCCAUGGCCAGGUUCACACCUCAGGCUGCAGGGAGUGAAGCAACCUCGUGUGUCCCCUGCAAUGAAGCCUGAUACACAAGCCUGCUUAAAGUCAGCGAGCGGGUGAAACCCUGCUUAGAUGGAAGGAAUAAAACAGUGAAAAUUACAAACUGUAAAAACAAAGACAUCUUGUCUCUAAUGUUUCAGAGAAGCAAGAUUUAACACAGCACGUUGAAGAUCAA